rnacentral:rRNA from 1 species
CCUACGGGCGGCAGCAGUGAGGAAUAUUGGUCAAUGGUCGGGAGACUGAACCAGCCAAGCCGCGUGAGGGAGGAAGGUACAGAGUAUCGUAAACCUCUUUUGUCAGGGAACAAAGGCGGGGACGUGUCCCCGGAUGAGUGUACCUGAAGAAAAAGCAUCGGCUAACUCCGUGCCAGCAGCCGCGGUAAUACGGAGGAUGCGAGCGUUAUCCGGAUUUAUGGGGUUUAAAGGGGGCGCGGGCGGUCUGUUAAGUCAGCGGUCAAAGCCCGGGGCUCAACCCCGGCCCGCCGUUGAAACUGGCAGUCUCGAGUUGGAGAGAAGUAUGCGGAAUGCGCGGUGUAGCGGUGAAAUGCAUAGAUAUCGCGCAGAACUCCGAUUGCGAAGGCAGCAUGCCGGCUCCACACUGACGCUGAGGCACGAAAGCGUGGGUAUCGAACAGGAUUAGAUACCCUUGUAGUC